UGUCUCCAACCCCCUCAAGCAGAUCUCCCAAAAACUUACAAGGAUGAGUUUGAACAGUCAAGGUCAUUUUCCCAGAGGUCUAUUUCUAAGCCCUCCAAAAUAUGGCUCCCAGUGCUGGGGUGAUCAGCAUGUACCAAUCAUGUCUGGCAAGACCACCACUCUUCUGUACCUGACCAGGCUUUCCCCUCAGCCGGGAUGGCCAGCUCCGACAAUAAGGUACCAGGGCAUGGACUCUGAAUGCCUGACAAUUCCCAACAUGACACCAACUUUCCAUCACAUUAGAGAAAGGCUAUCACUGCCAGUCAGAAAGGAGCAGAGCGGACCCUACCUUCUUCAACUCGAUGAUUUCGUCGUACAUGUCCUCUUUCUCUCUGUAGACAGAAGUCCCAGAGACGUGACCUGGAGGAAGAUAUGCAUGCCUCUUAGGACAUCAUGGGACAAUAGAAAGGACCCCUGGUUAUGCCUGAAGGGAAACCUGUGAGUUAAUAAAACUGUACUUAUUUGCUUGCUUGCUUGUUCU